GCGUCGGUGGUUCAGUGGUAGAAUACUCGCCCGCCACGCGGGUGGCCCGGGUUCGGUUCCCGGCUGACGCA
rnacentral:tRNA from 1 species